rnacentral:tRNA from 1 species
UUUUAUAUAGUUUAAUAAAAACAUUAUAUUUUCAUUAUAAAAAUAAUAAAUCUUAUUUAUAAAAA